AAUAUUGGACAAUGGGCGAAAGCCUGAUCCAGCCAUGCCGCGUGGAUGAUGACGGCCCUAGGGUUGUAAAGUCCUUUCGACGGGGAAGAUAAUGACGGUACCCGUAGAAGAAGCCCCUGCUAACUUCGUGCCAGCAGCCGCGGUAAUACGAAGGGGGCUAGCGUUGCUCGGAAUCACUGGGCGUAAAGCGCACGUAGGCGGCUUUUUAAGUCAGGGGUGAAAUCCUGGAGCUCAACUCCAGAACUGCCUUUGAUACUGGAGAGCUUGAGUUCGGGAGAGGUGAGUGGAACUGCGAGUGUAGAGGUGAAAUUCGUAGAUAUUCGCAAGAACACCAGUGGCGAAGGCAGCCCCCUGGGAUAAUACUGACGCUCAGACACGAAAGCGUGGGGAGCAAACAGG
rnacentral:rRNA from 1 species